ACGAACGCUGGCGGCGUGCUUCGCCCAUGCAAGUCGAACGGAAAGGCCCUGCUUUUGUGGGGUGCUCGAGUGGCGAACGGGUGAGUAACACGUGAGUAACCUGCCCUUGACUUUGGGAUAACUUCAGGAAACUGGGGCUAAUACCGGAUAGGAGCUCCUGCUGCAUGGUGGGGGUUGGAAAGUUUCGGCGGUUGGGGAUGGACUCGCGGCUUAUCAGCUUGUUGGUGGGGUAGUGGCUUACCAAGGCUUUGACGGGUAGCCGGCCUGAGAGGGUGACCGGCCACAUUGGGACUGAGAUACGGCCCAGACUCCUACGGGAGGCAGCAGUGGGGAAUAUUGCACAAUGGGCGGAAGCCUGAUGCAGCAACGCCGCGUGCGGGAUGACGGCCUUCGGGUUGUAAACCGCUUUCGCCUGUGACGAAGCGUGAGUGACGGUAAUGGGUAAAGAAGCACCGGCUAACUACGUG
rnacentral:rRNA from 1 species